rnacentral:rRNA from 1 species
UUAGCGGUGUGGAUUAGGCAUGCAAGUCGUGCGCGAAAGCCUUCGGGCGAGUAGAGCGGCGAAAGGGUGAGUAACACGUAACCAACCUACCCCAUAGAUUGGAAUAGCCUCCGGAAACGGUGGGUAAUGCCGAAUGGCCCCAGUAGAAGGCAUCUUCCGCUGGGUAAACGGUGGCUUCGGCUGCUGCUGUGGGAGGGGGUUGCGGGCUAUCAGCUUGUUGGUGAGGUAAUGGCUCACCAAGGCUAUGACGGCUAGCCGGUCUGAGAGGAUGGUCGGUCACACUGGGACUGAGACACUGCCCAGACUCCUACGGGAGGCUGCAGUCGAGAAUCUUCCGCAAUGGGCGAGAGCCUGACGGAGCGACACCGCGUGCAGGAUGAAGGCCUUAGGGUCGUAAACUGCUGUCACGCUAUAGGAAUGGCGCAGGAUUAACAGUUGUGCGUUUGACCAAAGCGAGAGGAAGCACCGGCUAACUCCGUGCCAGCAGCCGCGGUAAUACGGAGGGUGCAAACGUUGUUCGGAAUCACUGGGCAUAAAGGGCUCGUAGGCGGUCCAUUAAGUCAGGUGUGAAAUCCCCCGGCUCAACCGGGGAACUGCACUUGAUACUGGUGGACUAGAGUAUGGUUGGGGUGAGCGGAACUCCUGGUGGAGCGGUGAAAUGCGUAGAUAUCAGGAGGAACACCGGUGGCGAAAGCGGCUCACUGGACCAUUACUGACGCUGAGGAGCGAAAGCUAGGGGAGCGAACGGGAUUAGAUACCCCGGUAGUCCUAGCCGUAAACGAUGUGCACUAGGCAGGGGAGGCACCUAUGGCCCUCUCUGCCGUAGCUAAUGUGUUAAGUGCACCGCCUGGGGAGUACGCUCGCAAGAGUAAAACUCAAGGGAAUUGACGGGGGAUCACACAAGCGGUGGAGCAUGUGGUUUAAUUCGAAUCAACGCGAAGAACCUUACCUGGCCUUGACAUGUAUGGAUUAGUCCUGUGAAAGCAGGGUGACAGCCCUUCGGGGUCGGAACAUACACAGGUGUUGCAUGGCUGUCGUCAGCUCUCGUGAGAUGUUGGGUUAAGUCCCGUAACGAGCGAAACCCUUAUCGUUAGUUGCCAGCGCGUAAUGGCGGGGACUCUAGCGAGACUGCCGUUGUUAAGACGGAGGAAGGUGGGGACGACGUUAAGUCAUCAUGGCCCUUAUGGCCAGGGCUACACACGUGCUACAAUGGUUUGUACAAAGGGUUCCGAGACCGCAAGGUGGAGGCAAUCCCAUAAAGCAAACCCCAGUUCGGAUUGCAGGCUGAAAUUCGCCUGCAUGAAGUUGGAAUCGCUAGUAAUCGCGUAUCAGCCAUGACGCGGUGAAUAUGUUCCUGAUCCUUGUACACACCGCCCGUCAAGCCACGAAAGCGGGGAGCGCUCGAAGUCGCUUUGUCUAACCUUCGGGAGGACAGCGCCGAAAGCGAGUUCCGUGAUUGGGACUAAGUCGUAACAAGGUA